GGGAAGAAAGCAUAUUAUGCGGUUGACUUGAAAUUAACAGAUGGUGGUCUAAAUCCGCCUUUUCUCG
rnacentral:tRNA from 1 species